CCGUCUGACAACAGCAUACUCACGUUACUCCAGGACUGGGUUACUGGCAAGCAGAGUCCUCCUCACACAAGUUAAUGUGUCUCAAGUAGUCUUUGGCCUUACUUGAACUCCUCAAGUCAUGGUGAUGGUGCGUCUGUCGCAGGGUGUCCUCAUGUGGCCUCUCCCCACUGCGGCCUGUUUGAGCUUAUUAGUGAGUGCCCGUCUGUACACUCAUUGAUGCCAGUCCUGGGGACAGAUGGUGGCAAAAGAGGGAUAGAGUGAUGGAUUGUUUGGCGGCGCAGCGCCCGCUCUCUCCCCGAGCGUGAGAAUCUGCUCCAGUACAGGGUGAGAAAGAAAAGGUAUCUACAUUAUUCUGUAUGCCUCGCAUGUAUGGAACAAUUGACAACAACUAAUCCUUAAAGUAAAAUGUAUUGUUGAAAGUCGAUUUAUACACAGAGGUGUCAGGGAGUGAGCCUGUGUGACGUUACAAAAUCCUGAUGGGCUACCCUUGUUUUACCUAUAUCAUUAAAAAUACAGUUUCCAAUAGGGGUGUAAAAAUGUUUGGUUACAAAUCGAUUACCGAUUUUAACUUUAGAGAUACGAAUACAUCGUUUGGCGAGGCUCUGGAUCGACGUAUAUAUGGUAUGGAUCAGUUGUCUGAAAUAUGGCUGCUCAAAUCUUGCGAGAUUUCUGUUAUGACGUAAUACGAGAGUACCGUUCUCGUUUGCAACUGACGACAGAGCAACAUGUCAGACAGUACUGAAAGUUUAUAAAACAAUGCACCCACGAAUAUUAAAUCUAAGUUGUCAUUAACGUUUUGAAAUUAUAAAGAAAAACGAAUGGUCGGUUGGAUAAAAGUAUGGCCGUUUGUAACGUUUGUACUGCACUGGCUUCCUGUGCACUUAAGAUACGUCUUUAAGGUUUUAUUACUUACGUAUAAAAUAUUAAACGGUCUAGCUCCAUCCUAUCUUGCUGAUUGUAUUGUACCAUAUGUCCCGGCAAGAAAUCUGCUUUCUAAGAACUCCAACUUAUUAGUGAUUCCCAGAGCCCAAAAAAAGUCUGCGGGCUAUAGAGCGUUUUCUAUUUGGGCUCCAGUACUAUGGAAUGCCCUCACGGUAGCGGUUAGAGAGGAUAUCUCAGUAGAAGCAUUUAAGUCCCAUCUUAAAGGCCUACUGAAAGCCACUACUACCGACCACGCAGUCUGAUAGUUUAUAUAUCAAUGAUGAAAUCUUAACAUUGCAACACAUGCCA